GGAAAUUCGAACACGGGGAGUGACUAGUUGCUUAAGCGUUCACGUUAGGGUCACACAAUUAAUUACCUCCAAUGUAUCGUCUCUAUUUCCAUUGUCUAAGCAUACAAGGAAACUAUAAUCUCUCCUUUCACCUUAUCAAUCUCUUCCUUACAACAAUUCAGUCAUACCAAUAACUGUUAUUUCUACCAAUAUAUCUUCACUCUUAUAAUCUCCAACUGUAAUACCGCAACAUCACAGCUUCAGCACACAAUUACCCUCAUUCCAAU
rnacentral:lncRNA from 1 species